rnacentral:sRNA from 1 species
UUCAGCAGUAUGUAAGACCAGAGAUUAACACACAGCUGUCUGAUUUCUGCAUCAGUCUAACUGGAAUUACUCAGGAUCAGGUAGACAGAGCUGAUACCUUCCCUCAGGUGCUAAAAAAAGUAAUUGACUGGAUGAAAUUGAAGGAAUUAGGAACAAAGUAUAAAUACUCACUUUUAACAGAUGGUUCUUGGGAUAUGAGUAAGUUCUUGAACAUUCAGUGUCAACUCAGCAGGCUCAAAUACCCUCCUUUUGCUAAAAAGUGGAUCAAUAUUCGGAAGUCAUAUGGAAAUUUUUACAAGGGGGAACAUCCGCAUCCAAGAGACGCCUGCAGUCCAGGGGGCUCCAGAGGGAGGGAGUCCUGUGGAUGUGGAAGAUACGCUUUUGUCUGAGAGUCAUGAGAUUGGACUGUGGGUCCCUGUUGUUGUUAACCCCUGUGUGAUCUUGGGCAAUUCACUGUUCCUGUCUUUACCUCUACUUGCUCCUCAGUAAGUCAGAGUGAACUGAGAUCUCUUCCUGAAAUUACUUAGCCUAAUUCUAUGGUUGGUUUCUGGUGGCCAGGAACCAGAAAUAAAUCUCUCAGCAAAAUUUUGCUUAUGGACCAUGAAUCUUAGAGUAUCCAUGGUAUCACUGAUAUCUUUAAUUCCCAGAUAUUUUCCAGUAAUGAAAUUCAUAUAAUAAAGCCAGGAUCUCUGGUUCUU